rfam:Alcanivorax sp. Nap_24 scaffold_6, whole genome shotgun sequence.
CGGGUCGGUCAGGCAGCCGCUGGCGGUGCAAGCCGCUGGAGGAAAGUCCGGGCUCCAUAGGGCAGGGUGCCAGGUAACGCCUGGGGGCCGCGCUGGUGACGGCGCGGUUACGGAAAGUGCCGCAGAAAAGGUACCGCCCGGCGGCUUUCGAGCCACCGGGUAAGGGUGAAAAGGUGCGGUAAGAGCGCACCGCGCCGCUGGCAACAGCGGUGGCAGGGUAAACCCCACCCGGAGCAAGACCAAAUAGGGACCCAUGGGCGUGGCCCGCGCCGGGUCCGGGUAGGUCGCUUGAGGCCCGUGGCGACGCGGGUCCCAGAUGAAUGGCUGUCCACGACAGAACCCGGCUUAUCGACCGAUCCACCUA